rnacentral:lncRNA from 1 species
UGCCGCGCCGGCGGGCUAAGAGUUCGACCCGACAAGGGCCAAGCGAGCGGCAAUGAUCCCCUUAGGAGCAUUCAAAGAAGAGGAGGCGAAUAACUAUACGAAUUUGAGUCGCCCACCGGGGCGGACUGGACCCCAGCGCCAGGCUACGCCGGGCGGGAAAAGAAAAUGUAGCAUUUCCCCCUCCGCGCGCGAGCCCCACCCCCAGGAGAGCCCCCGGCAAGCGGCGACCCCGGCCUCCGUGCCGCGAGCCGAGCGCCAGCGCAGGUGGUGAGCGGCACGGGCCGGGCGCGCCCGCCGGGCGAGAAGCCGGGCGGCGCGGCCUCCGCGCCCCCCGGUCAGAGGCGCAGGCGCCGCGGGCGAGGCGGCAAGCCCGCCCGCCCCGCGCCUCGCAGCGCUACGCACUGCGGGUCCGUCCGCACGGGAGCCGGCCUGCCGGAGCCCGCGUUGAACGCAAGUUUCUGAUCUACCAAGCGCCCUAAGACGUUAAGUGUGGUCCAUAGCGUAAAGCGAUGCAAGAAGUAGCUACGCUCUCGGCUCUAUAGGCAACGGCUCUCAGCAAUCCACAAUGGAAAAUGCCAGCCGGCGCCCCGCCGGGCGGCGCGCUGCGCGCGCCGGCGGGGCGAAGGAAGCAAGCACAACGAACUGCGCUUUUCGGCGCGGCCCCAAAAGCAGGCAGGAGGAGGCGGCGGCCUGCCGCCCCCCCCUCCCCCGCCCCGCGGGCGGGGGGAGGCCGCCGGCUCCUCUCCAGGAGCCGGGGGCUCUCCUCCCCCGCGCGGGCUGCCAAGCCAGUGCCCACGCGCCCAGCAGGAAGCGCCCCAGAGCUGUUACUAGGAAGGCGUCCAAGUGGAUGCCUUUGGAACAAUGCUGAAGAGGAAGGAGAUUUACUAUUCCAAGUCACCUGAAGAGCGCUGCAGCGCUCGCCGCUUGGCGGGCGCAGCGGCGCUAGGCUUGUGAAGUGGCCUGGUAAGUUAGCCAUCCUCGCUGCCCGCCACACAUGUUUCCCGUCCCUGCAUCAGUUGCGCUCGACUACUGAGCGCGAAUGAUCCGUAAGGAGCAACUUCUGGUUGUUAACGUUACUAGAUAGGGGUAGUGCUACUUUAAAGGGUUCUAAUGGGCCCGGACAGCCGGUUCCGAUAUCUGAGCAACUUAUGUAGUCACAUCGCGCGCACGCCGGGUCUUGUAGAUUCCCGUAGUGUCUGGACAAUAACGGAGUUUGAAGGCACCGGACUCGCCGGUAUCAGGGAGAUUCUUCGAGCGGCGCCUCCCUACGGAGGCGCAUCGAUCAAUCGUCCGACUCCAGAGCAAGCAAUUGCCUUAAUUGGUCUGUUUAGCGAGGUGGUUGAUUCUUGCCGGUACGUGGUGGUGGGUAUCUUAGUUCUUUCUCGAGAGUCAGACAGUUAGGAACGAUACAGGCCUGGACCAUUCAAAGGGGCACAACUCAGUUUAAUUCGGCGUCCGAGGUGCGGACCACCACGGGAAGGCAGUUAAGGAAAUUCAAAGUCGGAACGCUGGUAUGAGGGGGGCCUUGGGUUUCUGAAACUAAAGAGUAUUCCACGGCCGCCUCAGGACUUUCGUUGUAGGCGGCUAGGGAUCAGCCGUAGCAAAUACCAACUCUGAUCCUGCCAUAGACUAGCAGAAGCUCGGGGGUUGAAAGCAAGAACUAAUUACUUUUGUAGGAACCGUUUACGAAAGCGUCACCAAGCAGAAAGUAUUUAGGUUCUUAAAGUGGAGACUGAUACUUUAUGCUUACGGGGGCUGACAGGGACAAUUAGUAAUGAGGCUAGGGCUUCCGGUUGUGUUAUCCUGGCCUUAGGAUACUACAAUAGGGUACGAUUACAUAUGUCUCGCACCCGAACGAAACUCGUGAGAUUAAAGAAGUUUCAUUGCCGCGGCCUCCGUGCUGGGCCGGUCAAUUCCGGCCCUCGCGUAGCGGCCGUCUUCCCAGCCCCGGCAGCCACGUGUGGGCCCCCGCCUGGCCGCCUGGGCCGGGUUCCAGGUUGAUGCUCGAAAAAUUGACGUUGUUGAAUUUAUAUGCGAUAACCUCGACCUUAAUGGCGCCGACGACCGUGGUCUGAACGGGAGGUUACCUAGGAGCAAUUCCCUAAAUCUAACAUGAGUAAGGUUAAUGGUCUGGGCUUCCCGGGCCAUAACAAUAAAUAACAGUGAUGGAGGGGCACAGUCCUAACCCAUUAAACGCGCGGACGACGGAAGGAACCUACACCAUCGGCAAAGAGUCCGAGGGAGAGGCCUUAGCUUGGGAUUAAGAGGCAGUGGGCAGUGGUGGUACCAUCCGGGGAUAGGAUGGUAGCUUUCAACUAUCCCGUCUUUAAACUUACUACGCAGCGGCCGUGCUUCCGGCACGCUAGGCAGCUCAAUAGUACUUAGUAGCCAAGCGCCCCGCUCGGGCGCAGCCGGAAAAUAGAUUAUUUACGCAGGGAAGGCCUUCAGCCCCAAACAACGUGCAUAAUCGAGAUCUUAAUGAUGCCAAUAGGCUCAUCGUCCAUGGUAGUUUGUUUGAUAUUGACUAAAUUACUCGGUAAGCGUCAAAGUGUCAGACUUAAUCAAGUAUGAAUGUGUACGUACCGAAUUAGAAACUCUGUUCGUAUACUGAUGACCGUCCUAGUUGGUCCAUCGCGCAGGAGGCGCUGCGGCCGCGGCGGCGGCCCCGCCGCCCGGCCGGCAGCAGAGCUGCUCCCGCCGAAUGCUUCUGGCUGGCUCCAGGCCCGGCCCCCGGCUUCAGGGGCCUCGGGCGUCGUAGGCGGCGUAGGCUCUCGCGAGCGCCCUGCAGCCUUCGGCCCGGCCGUGCCCCCGGGCUCAACGUCCCGGCGCGGCAGGCCCCCGCGGGCUGCGAGCCGGCGGGCUCGCCCGCCUGACCGCGCACGCAGCGCAGCCGAAGGGCGUCCUGGCCCAUCUACCGUGUCCGUUGCGCGCGGCGAGCUUCCGGGCUUUCCGCGCUUGCUCGCUUCCCUGACUCCCCUGCCGGCGGGGCCGCCAGCCGACGCGCCUCCGUCCCUCGGGCGCCCCGCGUGCUUAGGCUCUGACGAGUGCACGGCUGUGCCGGCGCAGGCCCAGCGGCGGGCGUGCGGGCGGGCGCGGCGCGGCCUGGCCCUCCGGGUCUGUGCUCCGAAAGCCCCCCAGCUACGCCCUGCCGUUGGUCGCCUCCAGGCGGCUCGUGCUUUCCCAUGCUCCCUCCUGCCAAGCCCUGAACCCGCUCCCCUCGCGGCGGCAGCCCGCGUCGGCGUGCCGCGACCCGCUCGCCCCGCGCGCGGACGUUCCGGGUCACGCGCGCGCGCGUGACGGUGGCGCGGUCCGCGUCCCCGCGCCGCGAGACGUCGCGUCGGGCCCGCGGCGCGCCCCGGCCCCGCGAGACGCCCGCGGGCGGCCUAAGCCCGGGCGGUCGAUCCCGCCUCGGAGACCGCCGCCGGCGCGGCCGGGGAAGCGGCGCGCGCCGCCACGGCGCGCCCCCUCCGGGGGGCGCCAGCGCGCCCAGGCACCGGCCCGCGGGCUCCCCAUCCGACCCGUCUUGAAACACGGACCAAGGAAUCUGACAUGCGUGCGAGUCGACGGGCGCGAAAACCCGGGAGGUGCAAAA